AUAAGUUCUAAUAUGUUGUCUUUGCCUCUGAAAGAAAAGUAACAUAAACACAUUUUUUAUUCUACCUCUGAUACUUAUGACUAUGCUUCUGAUAUUGACACACUCUAAAUUGGCUCUAACUUUCAUACUUAUGACUCUAACAAAAGUCAAUGACUCUAACAAAAAGUCAACACACCAGAUAAAGUCAAUGCCUUUGAUGAAGGUCAACAAUUCUAGAAGUUGUGGAUGACUCUAAAGAUGUAAUUUUGAUGAUAUCUAGAGGAUUUCAUAUCAAAAUCUGAAAUAGGAAAAUAUUUCCUUUGAUCAUAAUAUUGUUAAUUUUGCCUUUGGUACUAUUUCUGGAAGAUGUCAAAGUUCAGAAAAAGACUUGAACAAGUUCUAGAAAAGUUCCAGUCGGCUACCUACCAAAUUGUAUCGAAUGGAAAUAUUGGCUAAGUAUUUUCUUAAUUGGUAUAAAUGGUUUGCAAAAGGUUCAUAAUUGACAACAACAACAAAAAAUUUGAAAUCCACAGUAAUUGUCAAAGGUGAAACAACACAGCAACGCACUGGUUCAAAGCAACGAUCCAUAAAAGAACAAAAUUGAAACAAGACAAUGUUUUAAUUCAAUACUGAAGCAAGACAUAUGUUCCAUAAUUGAUUAUAAAAACGAUUCUUCUUUAGUUCAACAACUAUAACAAGAAUGAUAACAAG
rnacentral:lncRNA from 1 species